rnacentral:rRNA from 1 species
GCUUGCUUUUUGCUGACGAGUGGCGAACGGGUGCGUAACGCGUAUGCAACCUACCUUCUUCUGAGGAAUAGCCCAGAGAAAUUUGGAUUAAAACCUCAUGAUAAUAUUUAUUCGCAUGUUUAAAUAUUUAAAAUUUCGAUGGAAGAAGAUGGGCAUGCGUAACAUUAGUUUGUUGGUGAGGUAAUGGCUCACCAAGACUACGAUGUUUAGGGGGUCCGAGAGGAUGAUCCCCCACACUGGUACUGAGACACGGACCAGACUCCUACGGGAGGCAGCAGUGAGGAAUAUUGGUCAAUGGACGAAAGUCUGAACCAGCCAUGCCGCGUGAAGGAUGACUGCCCUACGGGUUGUAAACUUCUUUUGUAUAGGAAGAAACCCCUCUACGUGUAGAGGGUUGACGGUACUAUUCGAAUAAGCACCGGCUAACUCCGUGCCAGCAGCCGCGGUAAUACGGAGGGUGCGAGCGUUAUCCGGAAUUAUUGGGUUUAAAGGGUGCGUA